GCGAAGGUAUAAGCUGUCGGGCAUUCUAACUCCUAGAGUAGUGCUUUGACCUUACCAAUGAUCUGUGACAGGAAGCUCAAAGCAGAUUCCUCACUGGUGAACUUCAGAGAAGUCACCUGAAGAAAAUGACUGAAGAGAAACCUGGCAGACUAAUCACUGCAGUCAUCACUUACUGUUUCCAUUGACAAUAUGUCAGGGUUUAAUUCUGUCCUUGUCCAUGCCUAGACGUACAUUAUUUCAUAUUUUUUGAAUAAGCACAUCUGUACAUUCCUGAUAUAGGGUGCAAAAGCCAUAUACCAGUGUCCUGCUGCAGCUGAAAUCACUGAUGCAUUUUGUCUAUUCGAUUACAGUCAGGCUGACAGUGCUGCUUUACCAGAUAAGAAGUUCAGAAGCAGUGUCUCUGUGGAGAGUGGGAAUGACUAUGCACAAAGUAGAGAUAUCCAAUUACAUAACAUCCUUCGUGAAGAAGAGAUCACUGAAGUGGUUUCCAGAAGUUUUUACCCUGGGUCCAUCUGUGUUUCAUACAUGGUAUUUUGACUGGCCAAUUCAACCCUCUCUGGGAAUAAACUCAGUCUCUGCGUGUGAAGAAGGAAUAAUGACAUGAGUUUUGAUUGUAUCUGCUAUUAUAUCCCUUUCACUAGCUAUAUUCCUAGUGGGAGACAGGAAUUUUUUAACUUUCAGUUUAAAGCAAAACAUGUCAUAACAAAGGAUUAAAUCACCCAGAACAAAUGCCUGUACACACGAUGACUUUCAUUUAAAAUUUACCUAAAAUCAUUAUGUGUACUGCUAGAACCGACAAGCUUUGGGGUUAACAAAAAUACUUGCUUUUAUAAAGGGAUUCUUGGGUAUAAGAAACUAGUCAUUUAAAUCAAACAAACGAUGGAUGGAAAAAAUAAAGAAUACGAAUAAAA